GCUCGGGAAGUGUUUGUUGAUUGAAUGAAGGAUGUUAGUAACUCCUCUGCCUGGUAUCCUCUCUGUCUCUUCUAAGCCAUGCAUGGGACAUUUGUGAUUCUGCUGCCGCUCAGCCUGAUCCUGAUGGUUUUUGGGGGGAUGAUGGGGUUUCUGAGCUUCCUCCUCCGAGCCUACCUCCUCCUCCUGCUCACUGGAAUUCUCUUCCUCUUUGGAGCCAUGGUGACCCUCGCUGGGAUCAGCGUCUACAUAGCGUAUUCAGCCGCCGCCUUCCGGGAGGCGCUGUGUCUCCUGGAGGAGAAGGCCCUUCUGGACCAGGUGGACAUCAGCUUCGGCUGGUCCCUGGCCCUGGGCUGGAUCAGCUUCAUCGCCGAGCUGCUCACCGGGGCAGCCUUCCUGGCAGCAGCCCGCGAGCUCAGCCUGAGACGGAGGCAGGACCAGGCCAUAUGAGCCUGGGCGCUGGGUCGUGGAGGGGAGGGAGGGGCUUGGCCCCGGAGCUUCACCGACCCAUCUCCAU
rnacentral:sRNA from 1 species